GUAGAGGAGACUGACGGGCAUUCAUUCUGUCAUCAGUUUGCAUUACAAUAGAACGUCCUCGUAGAUCUGUGGCAGCUGGAGUCCAUAGCCUACAAGCGCUCGCAUACAAAAUACAGACAUCUGCGGGUUAAUUCCUCGUGCCAUCCAAACACUCCUUUGUCCAGGCUUCAGUCUUGUUAUUUACUUUCCAUUAUUAACCGCCCAUCAGAGGCAGCUGCUCCGCUCUCACCCGACCUCUCUGCUCAAGGCAAACUGACGCACUCCACGGGUAAAUUGGAAUAGGUUUUUGUGCGCUCUGCAUCACAAAACCAUCGAUGAUAAAGAUUUCAUUCAGAAUAUCUAUAAUAUAUAUCACUGACAAUUUGUACAUCGCUCAUUCUACCCGAAGAGGAUUAGUCGGACACAGUUGGAGCCCUUUAUCGCGCCAUCCUUGCUGACACAGAUGGUGCGAGACAGGUGCAUUUUGGACCGAUGGUCAAACUUGCAUCAAUGCAAAAGUGGCCAAACCCACAGCCCAGCUGGCAGGACGCACGUCCCCAUGACAACUGAGAUUCCCUGGGGUCCCUGAUGGACUGAUGAAUACAGGAGUAGGGAGACAGGUAUGCGUCCAGUAUAUCCACACAUAUUGAAGGGGUUCUUCUAAAGACAGAGGAUUAACCACUACUAUUGGUGGUAAUGAUGUCUUGUAGGCUCCGUUCCUCCAUGAAAUUUGUAUUGACUAUUGUUUGUAUUAGGGGAGCUACCGAAGCAAGAUAUUCAUUUCAAUUAGGUCAGUGUAAGGUAAAACAUUUCAAAUAAGAUAAAAAGAAGGUUAAUCAGGUCAGUUAGUAACUGUUCCUAAUCACCUAUGAUUCUGGGAAUUUUAUUAACCCUUCCCAUCUGCAUCCCAUGGUAUCUUUAGGCAGUGGUCAAGUCUAAUGGUCCAGCCUCUCUUUGGUAGGGUUUUGGGGGCAGGUGUUCCAGGGGGUUGCGUUCCACUUUCUGCUGCUUGCUGCUCUGUGUUUCUCUCCAGAUAUGCCGAGGAGGAUACUGAGAUGGUGCCAGCCUUCAGAGGCCAUUUAGACGAGUCAACAACAUGACCAGACUGACAGAGCUGUUUUCUAAACAGUUGUCAACGCGGUUCAUCCUUACCGAAUUGGAACUGGGACAGGAACUGGGACCUAUGGCUUUCACGCACUGACGAAUGAACAUUACUACAAGGCUACUGACGGAGCACACUUCUUUUGCUAUCGAUUUGUGUUAGAAGGAGACCUUGCAGUGAUUAUUAUUGUUAUUAUUAUUAUUUGGAAGUACCAUUGGCACGUUGCUGGCCCCUUUAAUUGUAGUCUAUUUUAUGCCGACGUAAUUCAGGACGUCAUUCAGGACCACAUUUCAUGCCAUAAGAGAGACCCAUAAAGGGUGGGGUUUUAGUGUUGUCUGAUGCUUUGGCGCUUUCAUUUCCUUAAAUAUUGUUUACCUGAGGGAGCUCUCUCCCCUCCUCUGUAAAAUAACACUUUAUCAUCCCCUUCCACACUGUUCAGCUGAUCAAAGCAGCGAGAGACUAACACCUUUCUCUGAUGCCUGCUUCUCCUCAUGCUGUCAGCACCUUUCUCUUCUCGGUAACCUUGGCAACACUUUUAACACCUUACUCACUUCCUUCUACCUCUGAUGUCUAACAUGACUAACAAGGUUGAGUCUGCUAAGAUGGCCUUCCUGCUAAUUUAAUUGAUGUGCUCCUAAAGGCGUCAGCAUGCUUCAGUUUGGCUGACGCCUUCCCGAAGUUGGCUAGGCAAACCGAACAAGUGGGCUUGCAUCCUCCCUUAAAAGAUCUUCACUUGGAAAACAAUAAAAAAGUGACAAUAGUACCGAUUGUCCAUUUUAACAUGCCGUAGCCAGUAUAAACUUACUCAAAAUAUUCAGAAUGAAUCUAAGAUAACUCAAGAAAUCCGUCAUACAAUUUGAGGUUUUUUGCAGAGAUCUUAGUUGCGCAAUUUUAUAUCUAAUUGAGAUGUCUGGUGCAGUAUUUCUCAAUGAAAACAUUUGCAUGAAAACAUGUCGUCUCUCGUUGAAUUGCAACAAAGACUUUAUUGAAGAAUCCCUACUGUUGACCAAUCACCAACGAAGGAGCUUGCCUCUAGAAAAAAUGUUGAGCUCGAACAGUCGAAAAGUUACUAAAGUCCAGAACUAACAAAAACAUCACAAAAUGAUGUCAUAAUAUAUGCACAAAUUCUAUUGAACUGUUUUGGCUGGGAAGCAUGCAGACGUCUUAACCCAGCUGACAUACCCAUACCACUCCAGCAGCUAAUGCUUGUUAUCGUUAGUCUACUCUAACGUUACAGGAGUGUUAUGAGGAUGUUACGACUUUAAUAGGGUUGUGUCAGUGUUUGUGGCGGUGUUUGGAUGGUCUCCCGAGGCCUGGUUUGUCUUGUGAUUUCUGCAUGUACUGCAACUCCCAAUAACCUCAGCUAGAGUCAUAUAGAACUAACCAACACCAGAGUAAUCCUGGUUUGCUAACCUGGACUAACAAUCUAACAGUCACUAAUCAAGCUAAUCAACCAAACUAAACCCCAAGCCCCGUUGAGGGGAGGACGGCUCAUUUGAAUGGCCGGAACGGAGCAAAUGGAAUGGUAUCAAACACAUGGAAACCAUAUAUUUGAUGUAUUUGAUACCAGUCUAUUCAUUCUGCUCCAGCCAUGAGCCCUUCCUCCUAAAUUAAGGUGCCAACAAAGUCCUGUGGUGUAGGUGUACAUUUUGAGUUUAAGAGUGGGGCUCUUAGUGUAAUUAAUUUCCUUACCCAUUGAAACCAAACCAUCAGCUCUCUUGGCAUUCCUUAAUAAAUACACUAACACAUACCCUCUAAUACCUAACACUACUAAUGUCUGGUAACAGGCAUUUUGUUACUUACACUAACCUGUACUAUACUAACUUGUACCUCUCCCAUUUUCCUGAAACCUUUCUUCCACCAGACACAGAUCACCCAAAAUCAUAUACAGUAACUAUGUAUUUAUCUAUCUGUCAUAACCUUAUGCUCAGUAAGUUGCUUGUUGAGAUGUUUUACUUUUGGCCCCUAAAGCACAACGGUGAGAAUGAUUCCAGGAUCUGGGAUGGGAAGCUGGAUUAACCAAUAGAUUUAAAGACAAUGUGCAUCUACCUACCUGUAGCUCACUGGGUUGACCACACACUUCUGCUCAGGGGAUGCCUAAAAACAUGUUACAAAUGUUUCAGUAACUAUGUUAAAGAUUAUUAUUUUUUAAGUUGUCCAUCUUAAUAGUUUAACAAAUAAUGUCUGACAAAUGUUUGACCCCCUGUCCAUUGUGUGGCCAACCAGUGCUUGGUUUGUAGCCUGCAUAGACACAUGUGUAUUCUCUUAUUAGAUAAACCAAAGCAAAUAGCAACCCUUACCUGCUUUAUUACUAACUGGGUGGUGACUGGUGUAUGAACAACAACCCUGGAUAAGGCCUAACAAUUUGGCCAUUGAUUUCUUGCUCUUACAGUAUGUUAGUAUCUUCUCUCAGACUAACAUGUGGUGCUUCUUUCAAUGAAGUCUAACCAUGCUGCGACCAACUUAUCACCCAUCACUUCUCCCUGCCCCUUGGUGAGAUCCAACAGCAUCUAGUAGGCCAUGCAGUAUUGUUUCUUUACUUCCUGAGUCCCGUGUUCUUGAUCGUGUGACACUUUACUUAACCUGCACUAGAGUGAGAAAGCACUAACUAUUGGGGCAUGAAACAGCUUCCCAGAAACUAACAAACUAACUAACCUACUAAUUAACUAAUUAUCUAACAAACUAACUGAAAUGACUAAUUGUGUGCUGAGAGUUAUCAGGUUUGGAGGUUUAUGUUCAGCAAGCCAUCCCCCUUUCUGGUGUGUGUGUGUGUGUGUGUGUGUGUGUGUGUGUGUGUGUGUGUGUGUGUGUGUGUACGUGUGUGUGUGUGUACGUGUGUGUGUGUACAUGUAAUGUAUGCUGCAACUAGCUCUGACAGUCUUACGUCAGAAUUAGACGUUCAUCCAUGUUUCUCAAACAUCACAUUUCAAAUUUCUUCCAAACUUCAAAUUUCAGUGUUUAAGGCUAAGGUUAAGUAUUAACUACGAAUGGUUAAGAUUUGGAAUAGGCUUAAAACAAAAAUCUCAAAAACAACUUCAUAUUGAGGGAUUUGAACAUGCACAUUUUGGGACACGAGGCAGAUGCCAUUUGCUAUCUGACAUCCCCACCUAUAACCCCUUAGAAAAACUGAAACCUACUUGAAUCUAAGAGCGCUCACUGUUGCCCCUAGAGGCCAGUUUCCACAUCAUCUUCCGACAUCCUCAGACAUGGAAGGACGUUGAAUACUGACUUGUAUCAAGGGUGAUCUGGCUAGCAGACCUGUGGUUAUUAAUACUAACCUGUACUGUGGAUGAUGUUGGCUGGGCUUGCAAUUUCAAACGCAUUAACAUUAACUACUCUUUGCUUUGUGCACAGAGUCUGAGACAGAAUCUUCUCCCAUUUUCCUGAAACCUUUCUUCCACCAGACACAGAUCACCCAAAAUCAUAUACUAUAACUAUGUAUUUAUCUAUCUGUCAUAACCUUAAGCUCAGUAAGUUGCUUGUUGAGAUGUUUUACUUUUGGCCCCUAAAGCACAACGGUGAGAAUGAUUCCAGGAUCUGGGAUGGGAAGCUGGAUUAACCAAUAGAUUUAAAGACAAUGUGCAUCUACCUACCUGUAGCUCACUGGGUUGACCACACACUUCUGCUCAGGGGAUGCCUAAAAACAUGUUACAAAUGUUUCAGUAACUAUGCUAAAGAUGAUUAUUUUUUAAAGUUGUCCAUCUUAAUAGUUUAACAAAUAAUGUCUGACAAAUGUUUGACCCCCUGUCCAUUGUGUGGCCAACCAGUGCUUGGUUUGUAGCCUGCAUAGACACAUGUGUAUUCGCUUAUUAGAUAAACCAAAGCAAAUAGCAACCCUUACCUGCUUUAUUACUAACUGGGUGGUGACUGGUACUAACAACCCCAGAUGAGGCCUCAGAAUUUGGCCAUUGAUUCUUUGCUCUUCCUCAGGUUGACAUUUAUUGUCAUGAGUCUUGUCCUGAAGGCAGAACUGACCGAUUUCCCCUUAGAUAGGCCAGCUGCAAAGUCCAAAUUGUCUAUAUUGUAAAAAUAAACGUUUUUGCUUUUUGGUCAUUAGCACUAACAGUGUGGGUAAGGAUAGGUUUAACAUUAGGUUUAACAUCAGAUUUCAUGACUUUGUGGUUGUGCUACCUAGUGACCACUCUGCAGAGUGAACUCCAGAACAACAUUCAUGACAAAAAACACUAACCUGAUGCUCUUACUAACAUACUGUAUCUUCUCUCAGACUAACACGUGGUGCUUCUUUCAAUGCUGUCUAACCAUGCUGCGACCAACUUAUCACCCAUCACUUCAUCCUGCCCUUUGGUGAGAUCAAACAGCAUCUAGUAGGCCAUGCAGUAUCGUUUCUUUACUUCCUGAGUCGUCAUGAGGAUAGACAUCCCUGUGUUCUUGAUCUUGUGACACUUUACUUAACCUGCACUAGAGUGAGAAAGCACUAACUAUUGGGGCAUGAAACAGCUUCCCAGAAACUAACAAACGAACUAACCUACUAAUUAACUAAUUAUCUAACAAACUAACUGAAAUGACUAAUGUUGUGCUGAGAGUUAUCAGGUUUUGGUUCAGCAAGCCACCCCCCCCCCCCCCCCCCCCCCCCCCUGUGUGUGUGUGUGUGUGUGUACGUGUUGCGUGUGUGUGUGUGUGUGUGUGUGUGUGUGUACAUUGAUUCUCAAACUGUGUGCAUGAUGCCGUCAUUGUUUUUGUCUGAAUGAGUGUUAAGGAUUCAGCAUGCUCCAGUUCGGCUGGCGUCUAGCCAAAUUCGGCUAGGUGAAGUGAAUGAGUGUGCUGCAUACUCCCUUAAAAGACCUUUGCUUGAAAAUUUGAAAAAGCAGCAAUAGUACUGUUUGUCAAUUUGAGAUGCCAUAGCCAGUACACGCUUCCUUAAACUGGUCAGAAUUAAUCAAAGAUAAUUCAAGAAAUCUGUCAUUAAUUUAGACUUUUUUGCAGAGGAGAUCUUAGUCAUGCAAUAGUACAUCUAAGAUUUUUGGUGCAGUAUUUCUCAAUUAAAAAAUGUGCAUGAAAACGAGUCGUCCAAAACGAACAAAAACGUCACAUAAUGUCUUCAUAAUAUAUGCACAAACUCUUCCGAACUGUGUCGGCUGGGAAGCAUGAGGACGCCUUAAGUGUGUAUGUUUUUCUAUCAGUUUUUUUCUAUGGAGUAACGUUAUGCUAUAGCAAUGUUGUCUUCAUCCACUAUUUACACAAAUGACUGAUGAUUGGCUGAUGAUAAAAUUAUUGUAGAGGCUGUUUUGUUAGACUUCAGUGCGGCUUUUGACAUUAUCGAUCAUAGUCUGCUCCUGGAAAAACGUAUGUGUUAUGGCUUUACAUCCCCUGCUAUAUCGUGGAUAAAGAGUUACCUGUCUAACAGAACACAGAUGGUGUUUUAACGGAAGCCUCUCCAACAUAAUCCAGGUAGAAUCAGGAAUUUCCCAGGGCAGCCCGUUACUUUUUUCGGACUGUAGUAAUGACAUGCCACUGGCUCUACUCAAUUGCGGAUGACUCAACACUAUACCCGUCAGCUACUACAGCGACUGAAAUGACCGCAACACUUAUAACAAAGAGCUGCAGUUAGUUUCAGAAUGGGUGGCAAGGAAUAAGAUCGUCCUAAAUAUUUCUAAAACUAAAAGCAUUGUAUUUGGGACAAAUCAUUCACUAAACCCUAAACCUCAACUAAAUCUUGUAAUAAAUAAUGUGGAAAUUGAGCAAGUACCUCAACUAAACUAAACUGCUUGGAGUAACCCUGGAUUGUAAACUGUCAUGGUCAAGACAUAUUGAUAGAACAGAAGCUAAGACGGGGGAAAGUCUGUCCGUAACAAACAGCUCGGACACAGUUCGGACACCCAUGCACAAGACAUGCCACAAGAGGUCUCUUCAGAGUCCCCAAGUCCAGAACAGACUAUGGGAGGUGCACAUUACUACAUAGAGCCAUGACUACAUGGAACUCAACAUCAAUAUCAUGUAACUGAUGCAAGUAGUAAAAUUUGAUUUAAAAAACAGAUAAAAUACACCUUAUGGAACAGCAGGGACUAUGAAGCAACACAAACAUAGGCACAUACACUUAACAUAGGCACACACACACACACACACACAAUAACAUACGCACUAUACACACACAUAAACAGGGAUUUUGUAUUGUAGAUAUUUGGUAGUGGAGUAGGAGCCUGAGGGCACACAGUAUGUUGAGAAAUUUGUUGUGAAUGUAUGGUAAUGUUUUUAAAAUUGCACAACUGCAUUCAUUUUGCUGUUUGGCAGCAGCUAAUGGGGAUUAAUAGUAAAAACAAAUGCACACUUAGAACUGAUUUAGCAAAAACUAAGACCACAUUCAUUAUACAGACUCAACUGUCAAAAGUGGGUUCUAUUCUUGGAUAAAGACAAGCUUCUUACGGCUUGACAAUCAAAUUGUGUGAUCAAACGAUGAAGCAGUUUUGCUUUGGAGGACCUAGUGUCUUUCAGAGUAGCUUCAAUCAAAAGCGUCACUAGUCAACACAGUGUCUAAGUGGUUUGGAUCCUUGUCCUUUGUGUGGUGUCACUACAGAAUUAUUCACAAAAUAUGGCUGGGAUGUUGAAAAACUGAUAAUAGCCUUACUAUCUUUUAUUUCAUGUGCUGUAUUGAUAAAACAUAUUUACCAUGCCCUUUUCUCUGUUGAAUAAACUAUUUUAAAAAGUA